AUGCAUGUCUUAGUACAAGCUUGUAUCAAGCGAAACUGCGGAUGGCUCAUUAAAUCAGUCAUGGUUCCUUGGAACGAGUUGCCCUACAUGGAUAACUGUGGUAAUUCUAGAGCUAAUACAUGCCACCAAGCGCCGACCUUACGGAAGGCGUGCUUUUAUUAGGAACAAGAUCAACCGGGCCAGUCCCGAUAAGUUGGUGAACUCUGGAUAACUUAGCAGAUCGCAUGGUCUCAGCACCGGCGACAGAUCCUUCAAACGUCUGCCCUAUCAUACUUUCGAUGGUACGUUAUGCGCCUACCAUGGUCGUAACGGGUAACGGAGAAUCAGGGUUCGAUUCCGGAGAGGGAGCCUGAGAAAUGGCUACCACA
rnacentral:rRNA from 1 species